GUAGGUGGCAAGCGUUGUCCGGAUUUAUUGGGUUUAAAGGGUGCGUAGGCGGCCCUGUAAGUCAGUGGUGAAAUAUCUCAGCUUAACUGAGAGGGUGCCAUUGAUACUGCAGGGCUUGAGUACAGAUGAAGUAGGCGGAAUUGACGGUGUAGCGGUGAAAUGCAUAGAUAUCGUCAAGAACACCGAUAGCGAAGGCAGCUUACUAAGCUGUAACUGACGCUGAGGCACGAAAGUGUGGGGAUCAAACAGGAUUAGAUACCCUGGUAGUCCACACUGUAAACGUUGAUGACUCGAUGUUGGCGGUACACAGCCAGCGUCCAAGAGCAAUCGUUAAGUCAUCCACCUGGGGAGUACGCCGGCAACGGUG
rnacentral:rRNA from 1 species